rnacentral:rRNA from 1 species
GACGAACGCUGGCGGCGUGCCUAAUACAUGCAAGUCGAACGCAUUUUCUUUCACCGUAGCUUGCUACACCGAAAGAAAGUGAGUGGCGAACGGGUGAGUAACACGUGGGUAACCUGCCCAUCAGCGGGGGAUAACACUUGGAAACAGGUGCUAAUACCGCAUAAUUCCAUUUACCGCAUGGUAGAUGGAUGAAAGGCGCUUUUGCGUCACUGAUGGAUGGACCCGCGGUGCAUUAGCUAGUUGGUGGGGUAACGGCCUACCAAGGCUGCGAUGCAUAGCCGACCUGAGAGGGUGAUCGGCCACACUGGGACUGAGACACGGCCCAGACUCCUACGGGAGGCAGCAGUAGGGAAUCUUCGGCAAUGGACGCAAGUCUGACCGAGCAACGCCGCGGGAGUGAAAAAGGUUUUCGGAUUGUAAAACUCUGUUGUUAGAGAAGAACAAGGAUGAGAGUGGAAAGUUCAUCCCUUGACGGUAUCUAACCAGAAAGCCACGGCUAACUACGUG